rnacentral:rRNA from 1 species
UACAGAGGUGGCGAGCGUUAUUCGGAAUUAUUGGGCGUAAAGGGCGCGUAGGCGGCUUGACAAGUCCCGGGUGAAAUCCCUCGGCUCAACCGAGGAACUGCCUUGGAAACUGUCUGGCUUGAGGCCGGGAGAGGGUAGUGGAAUUCCCAGUGUAGCGGUGAAAUGCGUAGAUACUGGGAGGAACACCGGUGGCGAAGGCGGCUACCUGGACCGGUUCUGACGCUGAGGCGCGAAAGCGUGGGUAGCAAACAGGAUUAGAUACCCUGGUAGUCCACGCUGUAAACGAUGGAUGCUCGGUGCUGGGGGUAUCGACCCCUCCGGUGCCUUAGCUAACGCGUUAAGCAUCCCGCCUGGGGAGUACGGUCGCAAGGCUGAA